GAACGCGCUUUCUCGCAUCGCAAGAGGCGGGGGAGCGAGUGGCGGACGGGUGAGUAACGCGUGGGUGACCUACCCCCAAGUGAGGAAUACCGGCGAGAAAUCGCCGACAAUACCGCAUAGGCUGGCCCUGCUGGGACGGGGGCAGCAAAGUCGCUCUUGAGAGAGAGAGGCGCUUAGGGAUGGGCCCGCGGCCGAUUAGCUGGUUGGUGGGGUAACAGCCUACCAAGGCGACGAUCGGUAGCUGGUCUGAGAGGACGAGCAGCCACACUGGGAUUGAGAACGGCCCAGACUCCUACGGGGGGCAGCAGUGAGGAAUUUUCGGCAAUGGGGGCAACCCUGACCGAGCAACGCCGCGUGCAGGACGAAGGUCUUCGGAUCGUANACUGCUUUUCUCGGGGAAGAGAACGGACGGUACCCGAGGAAGAAGCCCCGGCUAACUACGUG
rnacentral:rRNA from 1 species